GUCAAGUCAUCAUGGCCCUUAUGUCCAGGGCUACACACGUGCUACAAUGGGCGGUACAACGUGACGCGAGCCUGCGAAGGUUGAGCGAAACCUGAAAAGCCGUCCGUAGUUCGGAUUGAAGUCUGAAACCCGACUUCAUGAAGUUGGAAUCGCUAGUAAUCGCGCAUCAGCAUGGCGCGGUGAAUACGUUCCCGGGCCUU
rnacentral:rRNA from 1 species